CGCUUCCUGCCACCCUGGAGAGACAGAAAAACUGAGAUCGGAGGGUUCUUUGAAGUAUAACUCCCGUUCAGUGCUACCCAGCACGCGACCCCUCACUGCCUUCCAAAGACUUCGUGCAUCUCAGGAAUCCAGAGAGCCCAUCUGGUGACAGCGGACCCUCGGGUACAAGAAGCGGAGUAUACGCGGGCGGAACUGGAACCCGACGGGAGGGCAGGGGAGGGCGUGCAGGACUCAGUACAGCCUGGAGCAGCAGACAAGCUCCCUCAUCCCACCCUCGGCUCCCCGGGGCACAGGAAGAGCACACUUGGUUGGUUGUCAGCCGCUGAGAUCUCACCAUCUGUGCCACACACGGCAGCAACAAUGGCUGCUGUGAAGUGGGUCAAGAAGUCUGGCGCUCAACUGGACGCUGGUGGCACGAGAGACUAGAGGAUGUCACCAACCCCGCCUGACCACAUUUCCCCUGACUACAGCUAUAUAUCGUUACAGAUUCACAGGGCAGUCGCGUAAGAUGACGCAGAAAAAAACCCAGCAUCCAGGUGAAAGGAACCCUGCUUCCCACACAGGGAAUGCUACUGAGUUUUAUGUUGGGAUGGCAUAACUGGACUCCUAGGCCGAUUAGUUCCGGAUGCUGGAGGGUUUCAUCACAUCAGGUCUGGCUACUUACAAACAAAGUAAAUCAGAGGAAAAGUGAGAGGAUUUGAACCAUGUUGGGAAGGUGUAUAUCACCCAUCUCAGCCUACCUCCAGCCUGCGUGGUUGGGGAAGGGAACGGAGGCACUUAGGACCCCAGAAGCCUUGAUCGCUGGCUCAGUCCUGGAUCAGCAAUGAGGCUCUGAGAAGUCUUCCAGACCGAGGCUUCAGUGGAGAUGCCUGUGAGGCAAGAGUGCGGCUCGGGGGACACGUCAUCACAGGUGAUGUAACUGUGGCUCCGAUGUUCCCGGAACCUAGGGUGGUUGAAGGGCUGGGGCAAUGUCUGGAACCACACCCUGGUGCGUUCUGAAGACGGUAAGAAAGCUGGCCGUUCCUGGUUUCUGUGUUCUCGCUGUUGGGCUGGACACAUUCCUUGGAUGAUUAGCAUGUCUGAGUGCAACGGGUCAGAGUCCGGUGCAGAGCGACAGAGACAGAUAUAAAACAAAGAGCUGCCAGCUUCUUCCUGGCGUUAGUUCUUUUGUGGCCGAGGCAAGAGUCAGCGCUUUCAGCCACGGUGGUUCUUAGUACCUGUUAGUCAUAAUUAGAAGCAGCCGACCUUGAGAUUUACAGAACCUGAGGGAAAGGUCGGACUCAAUCCUUGAGACAGCCCUACCAGGCUGCCUUCUCUCCCCGGUGCCAACUGGCUAUAUAAAGUGGGCAAACAGCUGAGAGGCCACCCGGGCCAGCUAAUUUGGACUCUUUAAAGCCCAGAAGUGCUCUUGCCUCCAGCUGGGCAUUGGAUCUUAGCAUCACUGAGGACCCAAACUAUCCUAUUCUGCCCUCUUUCUCUGCAGUGUUCCCAAGCCAUUAGGCCAGUAGUCAGAGGUGACUGUGGGUUAGGCACAGUCCCCUGGUCCAUCUGAGUCUUCUCUCUGGUGUCACAUACAGCAUUCCAGCAGAGCCAGCUCCAUGGAAGGACCUGGUUGGUCCUGACCAGGCUGGCGAGCCAAGGAUGGGACAGUCCUCGACGAGAGAGACGAGAGGAGCUCAGGCAAAAAGGCCAGGAGGCUCUUGCAGAGGGGAGGCAUCUGCAUCAGAGCAGGUGCCGAGGAAAUAAAAUGAGCGCGUCUCGGGGGACAGCUCGUGGGAGCCCCACAAUUGUGCUAAAGUGUAGGAACAUGUGGAGGUGGGUGCGCUCUGCCUUGGGGUGGUCCUCACCUCAGCGAAGCGCCGGAGACGCGCUAGAAAAUGCACAAUAAACCACACUGCCAGACGGUUUUAUUUUCUUGCUAACAUAAAACACACUGCAUAGAAAAACGCCUUUGAGAGUCCGUGAAAGAAGAAAAAAAUUUUUUAAAGACAACUUCAAACCCAGUCACAGAUCAAAGCUUAAAAGUUUCUAAAGAUUACAUUUUUAAACUUCUGUUAAGUGUUUGUUUGUACAUUAUGUGUGCAUGUGCAGUGUCCACAGAGGCCAGGAGCAGGCAUCAGGUCUGGAAUUACAGACUAUGGUGAGCCGCCCUGUGGGUCCUGGGAACAGAAUCUGGAUUCUACAAGAGCAGCAAGGUCUCUUAAUCUCUGAACCAUCUCUCCAGCUCUGAUGACGGUGAUGAUGAUGACGACGAUGAUGAUAUAAAUGCGUGGUGGGGGUGGGGGUGGGGGUUGGAAGAUAGCUUAGUGGGUCCGGUGCUUGCCAUACACGCACAAGGACUUAAGCGUGACCUCCCGUACCCACAUCAAAGCCUGGUAUGGCAGUAUGUGAAUGAGAGCCCAGUACUGGGAGAACGGAGGCAGGUAGAUUCCAGGGGUCAUCGGGCUAGACCGUGUUUCUAAAACAGCAUGCUCCAGGUUCUGUGAGAGACCCUGUGUCAAAAAAACAAGACGGCUCAAGAGGGUAAAGGCAGGGCUAGAGAGACGGCUCAGUGGUUAAGAGCACUGACUGCUCUUCCAGAGGUCCUGAGUUCAAUUCCCAGCAACCACAUGGUGGCUCACAACCAUCUGUAAUGGGAUCUGAUGCCCUCUUCUGGUGUGUCUGAGGACAGCUACAGUGUACUCACAUACAUAAAAUAAAUACUUUUUUUUUUUAAAAAGAGGGCGAAGGUGCCUGCUGCUCAAGGCUGAGGACUUGAGUUCAAUUCCUGGGAUCCGUGUAGUAGGAGCAAAGCACCUCCUUCCACGGGUUGUUCUCUGACACACUACAUGAGCUCCGUGGUGUGUGUGCACACAUCCAUACUUGAAAACAAACAAACAAACAAAUAAUUUUAUUUUAAAAAAUGCAAUUUCUUAAAAUAAACAAACAAAUGGAUGUUUUGUUUGUUCGUUUGUUUAAAGGUAGAGAGAGAGAUCGAAAGAUAACCAGUGUCAACAUCUGGCCACGUCUGAGCGGGAACCCCGGCACACACAUUUCUCCAGGCAAGUGCACGUGGAGGGAAAAACAAAAAUCCCGGCACCCGAAAAUAUUCUAAUCAGUGUCCCGACUCAGUCCUGGGUCCGAGGAAAUCAAACCAAAGCAGCAUCUUGUUCAUAGACUAAUGAUUGGGGCACGCUUCCUACCGCAGGCACCGACGCAGCUCACCGGAGAGUGGGCUGAGGAAAGUCAACUGUCAAGCGUUCCUUAGUUUUACUAUCUGUGGGGAAAUACGUGCGACUGAAACAUGACAGACAUGGACUCUACCUCUUGGCUCUAGGACACCGAGUACUGCCUGUACCCAAAGGCCGAUGUACUACUACCCAGCUGGCUACGUGCCCUACUACCCAUGGCCUCCCAGGGCCCAGCUUCCUGCUGCUGCCUUUCUCCUGGCUGCACUUGCCUCACUCCCAGUAGGGCAGGGAGGAGCUCUGGAUCUGUCCCACCCCAGGCCUUUCACCCAUGCACCACAGAACGGAAAGAAAAAAAUCAUCUUUAUUGAGGUGCAAUUCACGGGCAAGAAACACACGGUCACGUGAUUGAGGCUGCUGCACCCGAGGACAUUCUGCCUGUCGUGAGUGUUCCCAUUUCCCAUUUAACCCAAGAGUCCAGUCCUCCCCAGUGUCCUCUGCUAGUCAGAGGCUUGCUGCCGGAACAGAGUCUUGCCACUGGACAGGGCACACAGGAAGGACCCGGGCAUCCUACCAACAGCACCAGGAUUCUGAAGAGUCGCCCAGAGCUCCAGUCACCACAGAGGUCAUGGGAUUGUCCUGCUGCACAUCUGGGUUGCUGCUAGACGUGAGCAGUUCCGAAUAAAAAUGCAAGAGGGUUGUAGGGACAUGUUUUGCUUCUCCCCAGAAGGGACUGUGUGGGGGAGACAGGGAGUUAGCACAGUUGACUUUGCAAAGCAGAUGUACCACUUGCCACCCCGUGUCGUCGCCGGCACUUAGCGCUGUCUGGUUUUAAGCAUUAGCCUCUCUUGAAGGCAUGCCGUGGUCCCCCCACUGAUUGGUGAGGGACGAUCGUGAUAUUAGUCACACUUUCGCAUGCUCAGGGCUCAUCUGUUCAGAUCGUGCACAUUUUACUUUUAUUACACUUGCCCGGCGUGUGCACGUGCUUGCCACCACACGCAUGUGUAGGUCAGCAGACAAUGUACAGGAGUCGGUGCCUCUACUUGGGUCCCAGGAAUCUAGUGCAACUUGACAAGCGUGCUAACGGUUGUCUUUUUUCCCAAUGCUGGCCCAGAUCUUUCGAUCUUAAUUUAAAAACUUAGUCUUUAAGCUACGAGGGUUUUUAGGUAUUCUGAAUACAUACCCUAUAUGGAUAUUUUCUCCGAGGUGUGUCUUGCUUUGUUGAUCAUUUAAUGGUAUCUUUUGAUGCUCAGACUGAUAAUUGUAUCUUUUGGAGACUUUGCUCCCUGGAUCCUUAAUGCCUGCCUAAAGGAAGGACUCUUACCCUUGGCAUCCUAUCUGGGCAGAUGUGGUCUCCUUUCUAACCCCAGAACUUAGGACAACGGCUUGGAUGUUGAAUGUCCCCUGAAGGCCCACAUGUUGAAGGCUUUAUUCCCGGUGUGAUAUUACAGAAAGAUGAUGGUACUUUUCUUUCCUCUGUGUAGCCCUGACUAUCCUGUAACUCACUUGGUAGACCAGGCUGGCCUCGAACACACAGACAUCCACCUGCCUCUGCCUCUGUAAGUGCUGGUAUGUUCCACCAUACAUACCUAGCUGUUGAUGGUACGUAUAAAGGAAAGGACCUAGUGGGAAGUCUUUAGGUUACCAAGUGCACAACCUUGACCUUGAAGGGGAUCCAGCAAUUUCCUGUUUCCUUUGGUUACUGGCUGUGACGUGAGCGGCUGUGUUGUUUUCCCAGCUCCUGCCAUGGCCCUCUGCCUCACUACAGAACCAAAGCAAUAAGGCCAAGUCACUAUAUCACUCAAGAUAAACCUCUCCUUUUGAUCCGCUGAUUGUCGCAGGACUUCUAUUCAGUGGUAAGGAGGCACUUAGGACUCCUUAUGACGAGCUCCCUCAUUCCCGGUAUCCAUUUCAGUUCCCACAGGGACCUCUGUCGUUCUUGAACUCCAGGCCGUCUUUCCUCAGCGAGACACUUGUGCAGGGUCAGUCCUUUAUAGAUAAUCUUCAUGUCCUGUGGUCUCUAUAUGCCACAUGCCCCCUUUUUUUUCUCUUUAAGACAGAGUUUCAUGUAACCCUAGGCUGACCUGGAAUUCACCGCGUAGCUAAGGUUGACUAUAAACUUUAUUGUUCGUUUGAGACAGGGUCUUUUUACACAUUCCUGGCUGUCCUGGAACUCAUUACAUAGACCAGAGUGGCCUCAGACUCACAGAAAGUCGCCUGCCUCUGCUUCCCGAGUGCUGGGAUUAAAGUUUUCAGCAAAGCAAAAAACCACACAUGCUGGUGUCGAGGACUACACAAGAGCGGCCCACUGAUUACAGCCUCAACGUUGUGGCAUGCUGGAAUGUUGCAGAUCCAGGGUCGAUUUCUCUCCGGCUAUGUUUAGUUCCCUGAAGAGCAGUCAUUGCUGGCUGCUGAGUCUGACCCAACAACACUUUGGAUUAAAUAAAACCUUUACAAUGUAUCAAUGGCUUCUGCCAACCCUGAAGCUGAGAACGUCCUGGGAGAGCAUCCAAAGCCCAUAGCAGAGACUCCUUCUUUGCUCGUCUGUAACCUGCCCACCUAGUUUUUCCACCAAUGGACUUGGGAAAUGCCUUGACUUGUGAUGUUCUUUUGUUCCGGGGGCAUAAAAGUUUGUGCAACUGCUUCUAUGUCAGGAC
ensembl:lncRNA LOC100912209 uncharacterized LOC100912209